AAUCAAAGUGCAAGAAAUCAUAUAGCUCUUACUGAGGGAAGGAGGUUGUUUGCCAAGAUCUCAUGAUACAUGGCCCCAUCCAUCCUCCCCUCAAUACGGUGAAGUCGUCCAGUCCCCUUUGCAGAAAAGCAUCCCAGUAGAAUGAUGUUUCCAGAGGGGCCAAAGUUUUAGAAGAAACCUAGAGAGGAACCUGGCUUGGAGGGGUGACCAUUGCUUUUCUGUCUGUGCCGUGUGAACAUUUAAAGAGUAUAAGUUCAUUUUAAGAGUAUAAGAAUGUAAGUAGAGUGGCAGCAUGAAUCGGGUAUCAUUUAUCUGCAACAUAUCCAGAAGGACUUUGGCCAGUGUAAGCAACAACUCUAUAGAGCCUGGUUUUCGGGAGGUGGGGGCCAAGACCUCACGUCUUCCUAUGUUUGAACGGAGCAGGAGACAAGAACAUUUUGAGAGUCCACUCCUUAGGUUUACAGUGGAGAAGGACAACUGAAAAUGUAUUUAUUAUUAUAUCCUUAUUUAUUGAUUAUACUGUUUUAAGAUCUUUGUACUCUGUAUGCUUGAAGCGUCACAUGUAUUAAAAUACUUUCUGUUGAAGCAACUCAUGAUAUCUGUAUCUAUAUUCAGGGCCAGUAUUGAGUGGAAUGUCAGCUGUGCAGGGCCUGGGCUCCAAAACCAUCAGAACUGUCCAUGAAGGGAGAACUCUUAACAGCAGCAGGGGGUUCUUGUUACCUGUACUGUACAGGUGAAUGAGACCCUACCCCUUAUGGGGAGUGCCAAGUUAGCAGAAAACCCAUACAGUAACUGUCCAGGUUGAUAAAUGUCAUCUUUUGACUGGGUUGUCGGGGCAACCAACAUUCUAUGAUUAUAUAGGCCUCCUGGAGCCAUGUCUGUGUGCAACGUUGCAUUUCAUAGUCUACAUCGUGGCAAUCUUGUUGUUACACUCCCAGUGGAGUGCUGGAUUAGCAGGAAGUGGGGAGCUGUUUUGUAUUGUUAAUCAACAUUUAAAUAUAUUAUUGUACUUUAGAAAAGAAAAACAUGUCACUAAGUUCAAAUCAGUGUGUCUGGGUUUCCAGGUAGUAAGGGUGUUCAUAUCACAGUGGUACAGAACAGAGUCUGUCACAAAGCACUAUUCGCCUUAUUCACCUACGGCACUUCCUUUAAACCAAAACGAGGCUGUGGGGUACGGAAGUAACGUUGGCCCGCCCAUCUGUAGACUUCUGUCAUAACGUUACCUACAAUGCCGCCACAUUGUUGUGUUCCCAAACGUACGUCUUCAAAGAGAAAGAAAUCCUAUACAGGUCAAACCUUCCAUCGUUUCCCCAAAGAUCCUGUACUUGGCCGUGAAUGGAUUCAUAAAAUAAGAAGAGACCCCGGUCGCCAUUUCAAGUGGACUAUGUCGAAAAAUGGGCCAAUAAGGACUGCAUGAUUCCCCGGGCUGUUUUGCUUAGAGGAUACAGCAACUGGAUCGAGGGAUAUGUGCACGACGUGGAAGAUACCUUGGCCAGAGCAUAACCGAUUAUCUUCACCCAAGAGACCUACUGUUCGUCAAUCGUUUUGGUUUUAAAGGUAAAUACAUUGUUAGUCACAAUGUUUAGUUACUGGGCCAAAAGGAAAAUAAUAAUGAAAAGAGUUGAGAGGG
ensembl:lncRNA